CAGCCGGGACCAUCCGGUAAGGCUAAAUACUCCCGAGAGACCGAUAGCGAACCAGUACUGUGAAGGAAAGGUGAAAAGCACUUCGAAUAGAAGAGUGAAAUAGUCCCUGAAACCAUGCGCCUACAAGCGGUCGGAGCAGCUUAAGUUGUGACGGCGUGCCUUUUGCAUAAUGAACCUACGAGUUACUUUUUCCGGCAAGGUUAAGCAUCUUGAGAUGUGGAUCCGAAGCGAAAGCGAGUCUGAACAGGGCGGAUAGUCGGAAGGAGUAGACGCGAAACCAAGUGAUCUACCCUUGGGCAGGUUGAAGGUUAGGUAACACUAACUGGAGGACCGAACCGAUAAGCGUUGAAAAGCUUCCGGAUGACCUGAGGGUGGGGGUGAAAGGCUAAUCAAACUUGGAGAUAGCUCGUACUCCCCGAAAUGCAUUUAGGUGCAGCCUUGAGAGUUACUAAUGUGAGGUAGAGCGACUGAUAAGAUGCGAGGGCUUCACCGCCUAUCAAGUCUUGAUAAACUCCGAAUGCGCAUUAGUUCUAUCUCAGGAGUGAGGGCAUGGGUGCUAAGGUCCAUGUCCUAAAGGAGAAGAAUCCAGACCAUCAGCUAAGGUCCCCAAAUAAACACUAAGUUGAACUAACGAAGUCAGAUUGCUAAGACAGCUAGGAUGUUGGCUUGGAAGCAGCCAUUCAUUUAAAGAGUGCGUAACAGCUCACUAGUCGAGGAGUUUGGCGUGGAUAAUAAUCGGGCAUAAGUGUUUUACCGAAGCUAUGGGAUACGUAAGUAUCGGUAGGGGAGCAUUCCACUCAGCGUUGAAGGCGAAGCGUGAGCUUUACUGGAGCGUGUGGAAAAGCAAAUGUAGGUAUAAGUAACGAUAAAGGGGGUGAGAAACCCCCUCGCCGCAAGACUAAGGUUUCCUGAUCAACGCUAAUCGGAUCAGGGUUAGUCGGGUCCUAAGGCUCAGCCGAACGGUGAGGCCGAUGGCAGAACAGGUUAAUAUUCCUGUACUACCUGUAGGAGUGAUGUGGAGACGGAGGAGUGACAACGCCGCGGACUGACGGAAUAGUCCGUUAAAGGGUGUAGAUGUUGAUUAUCCCAGGCAAAUCCGGGAUAAGAGUCGAACCUGACAGUAUACCAAUUUCCUCGGAAAACGGUAAUAGUGCGUGUAAACAUACUCCCAAGAAAAUCCGCUAAACUUAAUCUUACAGGUACCCGUACCGUAAACGGACACACGUAGUCGGGUUGAAUAUACUCAGGCGCUUGAGUGAAUCACGGUUAAGGAACUAGGCAAAUUGACCCUGUAACUUCGGGAUAAAGGGUCCCUACCCGGUGACGGGAGGGCGCAGAGAAUAGGUCCAGGCAACUGUUUAACAAAAACACAGGGCUGUGCAAAAUUGAAAGAUCACGUAUACAGCCUGACACCUGCCCGGUGCUGGAAGGUUAAGAGGAGAUGUCAUCGCAAGAGAAGCAUUGAAUUGAAGCCCCAGUAAACGGCGGCCGUAACUAUAACGGUCCUAAGGUAGCGAAAUUCCUUGUCGGGUAAGUUCCGACCUGCACGAAUGGUGUAAUGAUCUGGACACUGUCUCAACCGUGAGCUCAGUGAAAUUGUAGUAUCGGUGAAGAUGCCGAUUACCCGCGAUGGGACGAAAAGACCCCGUGAACCUUUACUAUAGCUUAACAUUGAAUUUGGGUAAUUGAUGUGUAGGAUAGGCCGGAGACUUUGAAGCAGGCACGCCAGUGUUUGUGGAGUCGCUGUUGAAAUACGGCCCUUUGGUUAUUUGAGUUCUAACUCGCUG
rnacentral:rRNA from 1 species